GGGGAACUGGUUAUUAGGUUUUCUCACUCGGGUCUGUACCUCAAGUUCCUCAGAGGCACAACUUCAGGUUUACGUGUUGGACUUCAACUAGCCAUUCAAUGUAGUUAUACAUAUUUGGAGAUUUAAUGUGAAUUGCUAUCACGUUGUACAACUUCUAAAUAAUUUAUCUGAUGAUAGCUCGUCUUUACUCUUUGACUGCAGAUGCCUGAUGCGUAGGCUGAACAACACCC
rnacentral:lncRNA from 1 species